UGUUUCCGCACCUGGUGUCCUCUAACAUGGGCCUUCAAACCAUAAAAUUAUACAUCAAUAAAUCAACUUUUCAUGAGGUAAAUAAUAGAUCAACUGAUUCUGCAACUUAAGUGUUAAAUUUCACAUUUAUGACGAAAGAAAAAUUAUUC